rnacentral:lncRNA from 10 species
GGGAGCUUAGAUGUGGAAGCUCUUUGGAAACCAAGAAACACUCUGAAAAUGAAAAGGUCUUUCCCCCAAAUGUGAUAAGAAUACAUAGCUACAGAGGGAGGAGCCAAGAUGGCCGAAUAGGAACAGCUCCAGUCUACAGCUCCCAGCCUGAGGGACGCAGAAGAUGGGUGAUUUCUGCAUUUCCAUCUGAGGUGGAAGAGUAAACUGUUCCUGUUUCUCCAUCUUGACAGGAAGCAGAAGUUCUCCUUAGCUGAUUUUUCUUCUUGCCUUAUACUGGGUUCUUUAACACCAGAACAAAAAUAAAUAAAUAAAAGAAUCUUCCAGAAAUUCAUGAAGAGACUUCAGGUCAGGAAAGCCUGAACUUUCUCAUCCAACACCCGUUCAAGUCGGAGGAUGCUGAUUAAUUCAUGAUGGAAAGGUAUCAAUUUCACAGCCCAGACCUCUACAUUCUUGAAAUGCUCUUCUCAUGGGAGACAUUAAAUAAGCUUUGAAUUAACUGAGACCUCUGUGGAUUCUAUAACUCAAAGACCCAGGCUGACGGCUGGUGGAAUAGCUACCAUCUCAAACAUGGCGUGAUGCUGCAUCAGAGAGAAAAAUAAGCUCUUGCAUUGACAAUGAAAUGUCUACCCUGUAGUGACUUGUGCUUACUUCCACUCACAAGUGAUUGCCCAGAGCUACUUACCUGGCUCCAAUCUACCACUGGGUGUGUACUUGCAAUCUACCAUGUACCUAGAAGAUGAGAGAAACAAAUUAUUAAUGAUGACCACACCCCAAUACUAACAACAAUUGCAGAAGAAUCAAUGACUUAAACAAAAAUGUGGCCAUUGAAGGAAUAGAAAAUAUAGUGAGUUUAGUGUAAAUUUAAAAGUGAUUUAUAAGUAACAUACA